rnacentral:antisense_RNA from 1 species
AUUUACCCACAAUAAAUUGCAUUAAUUAGGUUUGCUACUCAAAACCCCCCCGCCCGGAGCCCAGGUAUCAUAUACACCCCCAAAAUAAAGAGCACUGAAUACUAGAAGAAAAGCGCCUAUACCUAACAAGAUUAAGUGAAUAUCCAAAAUUGUAGUCAUUUUGUUUCUAUCUUUCCA